CACACUGAAUCGUUUGUUAUUUGCCGCAUAAUAUUAAAUAUAAAUAGAAAAAUUUUAAUCACUGAAAAAUAAUGGAUGCUUUUUAUAAAUAUCGGUACAGUAUCAUCGCUGGAACUUUUGCUGCUGGUGGCAGUUUUUUCGGGAAAUUACCUACCUUUUUAGUGGAAAAACAAUACCUAUCACAUUUACCCCUCAACAAUUCUGCAUAUGCUACUUCCUUGGAAUAUGUGUUUCGUGUAUUGCCAAUUUUAUUAAUGAUUUUAUGUAAUGUUAUGAAUUGGAGAUAUUUUUUGAAAGCGUUGCAAACAGCCGAACAAACAAUAUUCGUAACCGUGCUUACAACCGCAACAAAUUAUAUUGUCUCGUUUGUUUUAGCUUCAUUCAUUUAUCAAGAAGUCAUCACCUUUUUAUCUACAAUUGGUACCACAUUUAUUAUUGGAGGGCUGUGGUUUUUGUGCAGUAGUCAAGAGAUAAAUAAAAAAUCCAAAUAAGAAGCAGUACUGGAUACUAAUUAGCAGUACAUGUUUAAAAAUAUAAAAGAAUUCCGAUUAUCAAAAUUAGUAGAGUAGCAAAAUCUAAUAAGAAAAACUGUGAUAAAAAGUACUUAUGCUGCUGUUUUAGCACUUUAAAGUGAUAUAUAAAAUAUAGUGCCAGCUCCCUUAAAUGAGCACCGAUGAAAUCAGCAAAGUCAGUUUGGUUAAAAAAAUUAUUAAUUUUAUGAAACGUACUACGUAUGCAAAAUAGAAACUGAGGCCUAACAACAUUUCAAGGCUGAAAUAGAUGCCCAUAAAAAAGGGUUUUCAUAUUUAUAUACAGUCAAACCUCUCUAUAACGAAGUCGGUAAUGCCUGCAAAAAACUACGUUAUAGAGAGCUUAAACAAAUUUUCUUUUAUUGGUCUUUUUUUACUGGG